GCUUACGACCACACCGGCCUGAGUCGCCUGAUCUCGUCUGAUCUCGGAAGCUAAGCAGGUUUCGGGCCUGGUUAGUACUUGGAUGGGAGACCGCCUGGGAUACAGGUGCUGUAAGCU
rnacentral:rRNA from 1 species